rnacentral:ribozyme from 1 species
CCUUCGAUAUGGAUGUUGUCCAGCAAAUGCAGCCGCAGGAGUUUGGGCAGCAGCCGGCACAGCAAAGACAGCAGGUCUCGCCACAGAUGAUCUCGCCGCCUUCAGGCACGCAGGAAGAAUCGCCGCCUUCGAACAUCUACCAGCCACAGGUGGAGCAGCUGAUGAGCCUCGGAUUCCCGGAGCAAGACGCGA